GAUGAACGCUGGCGGCGUGCCUAAUACAUGCAAGUCGAGCGAACGGACGAGAAGCUUGCUUCUCUGAUGUUAGCGGCGGACGGGUGAGUAGCACGUGGAUAACCUACCUAUAAGACUGGGAUAACUUCGGGAAACCGGAGCUAAUACCGGAUAAUAUUUUGAACCGCAUGGUUCAAAAGUGAAAGACGGUCUUGCUGUCACUUAUAGAUGGAUCCGCGCUGCAUUAGCUAGUUGGUAAGGUAACGGCUUACCAAGGCAACGAUGCAUAGCCGACCUGAGAGGGUGAUCGGUCACACUGGAACUGAGACACGGUCCAGACUCCUACGGGAGGCAGCAGUAGGGAAUCUUCCGCAAUGGGCGAAAGCCUGACGGAGCAACGCCGCGUGAGUGAUGAAGGUCUUCGGAUCGUAAAACUCUGUUAUUAGGGAAGAACAUAUGUGUAAGUAACUGUGCACAUCUUGACGGUACCUAAUCAGAAAGCCACGGCUAACUACGUG
rnacentral:rRNA from 1 species